CAGCCGCCGCGGUAAUACGAGGGGGGCAAGCGUUGUUCGGAAUUAUUGGGCGUAAAGGGUGCGUAGGCGGUUUGGCAAGUUUGGUGUGAAAUCUUCGGGCUCAACCUGGGAACUGCAUUUGUGACUGUAUAGCUAGAGUACGGCAGAGGGGGAUGGAAUUCCGCGUGUAGCAGUGAAAUGCGUAGAUAUGCGGAGGAACACCGAUGGCGAAGGCAAUCCCCUGGGCCUGUACUGACGCUCAUGCACGAAAGCGUGGGGAGCAAACAGGAUUAGAUACCCCGGUAGUCCCUGUCUCAUACAC
rnacentral:rRNA from 1 species